rnacentral:rRNA from 1 species
CGCGUGUACUGGUCCGGGCCGGGCCUUUCCCUCUGUGGAACCCCAUGCCCUUCACUGGGUGUGGCGGGGAAACAGGACUUUUACUGUGAAAAAAUUAGAGUGCUCCAGGCAGGCCUAUGCUCGAAUACAUUAGCAUGGAAUAAUAGAAUAGGACGUGUGGUUCUAUUUUGUUGGUUUCUAGGACCGCCGUAAUGAUUAAUAGGGACAGUCGGGGGCAUCAGUAUUCAAUUGUCAGAGGUGAAAUUCUUGGAUUUAUUGAAGACUAACUACUGCGAAAGCAUUUGCCAAGGAUGUUUUCAUUAAUCAGGAACGAAAGUUAGGGGAUCGAAGACGAUCAGAUACCGUCGUAGUCUUAACCAUAAACUAUGCCGACUAGGGAUCGGACGGUGUUAUAUUUUGACCCGUUCGGCACCUUACGAGAAAUCAAAGUGCUUGGGCUCCAGGGGGAGUAUGGUCGCAAGGCUGAAACUUAAAGAAAUUGACGGAAGGGCACCACCAGGGGUGGAGCCUGCGGCUUAAUUUGACUCAACACGGGGAAACUCACCAGGUCCAGACACAAUGAGGAUUGACAGAUUGAGAGCUCUUUCUUGAUUUUGUGGGUGGUGGUGCAUGGCCGUUCUUAGUUGGUGGAGUGAUUUGUCUGCUUAAUUGCGAUAACGAACGAGACCUUAACCUGCUAAAUAGCCCGUAUUGCUUUGGCAGUACGCUGGCUUCUUAGAGGGACUAUCGG